rnacentral:rRNA from 1 species
CUACGGGUGGCAGCAGUAAGGAAUAUUGCGCAAUGGAGGCAACUCUGACGCAGCCAUGCCGCGUGCAGGAAGAAGGCCUUAUGGGUCGUAAACUGCUUUUAUUUAGGAAUAAACCCCCGAACGUGUUCGGGGCUGAAGGUACUAAACGAAUAAGCACCGGCUAACUCCGUGCCAGCAGCCGCGGUAAUACGGAGGGUGGCAAGAGUUAUCCGGAUUUAUUGGGUUUAAAGGGUGCGCAGGCGGGCUAUUAAGUCAGUGGUGAAAUCCCGGGGCUCAACUCCGGAACUGCCAUUGAUACUGAUAGUCUUGAGUUUGGUUGAAGUGGGCGGAAUGUAGCAUGUAGCGGUGAAAUGCAUAGAUAUGCUACAGAACACCAAUCGCGAAGGCAGCUCACUAAGCCAAAACUGACGCUCAUGCACGAAAGCGUGGGGAUCAAACAGGAUUAGAUACCCGUGUAGUC